UAAUCUGUCUAGGGCAUAUCAUCUUUUAGUGUGGUAGACUCACACUUGAUUGCUCAGAAUCACUCGUUAUCACAAGCCCGACUAUAUCAUUGACACUCAUAAAACAUAUUUGAAAUAAAAAGUUCAUAAAAUUAUAGU
rfam:Populus trichocarpa scaffold_1_contig_119, whole genome shotgun sequence.